AAGACUAUAGACCUGCGGAGUACCUGCGGAGGGAUCAUUACAUGGCGGAGGAGGUGGGCACCUAGUAAAAACAAAACCCUAGGUGUGUUGCCUACCACGCUUUCUACCCUUGUCUAUUUGCACCUUUUGUCGUUCCCUCGGUGGGUCUUGAACCUGCCGGCGGCAACUUUCAAAAACCUUUUGUAGUUAGUAUCUAAUUCUUCUGAUCAAAUAUUCAAUCGUUACAACUUUCAACAAUGG
rnacentral:misc_RNA from 1 species